rnacentral:misc_RNA from 1 species
UGGGAGUUGGUUUUACCUGAAGACGGUGCGCUAACCCGCAAGGGAGGCACCCGGCCACGGUAGGGUCAGCGACUGGGGUGAAGUCGUAACAAGGUACCCGUAGGGGAACCUGCGGCUGGAUCACCUCCUUUCUAAGGAUGAUCCUUCAGCGAGCUCACGCUCACUAUCGGAUCGUUUUAAAAACAUCAGUGGCCAACAGAUCGCCAGAUCGUUGACCUGCAUUGGCGGGAUUUCGCCGUCUUCUUUUCUCUUUCUUCGCGGACAAACACCCGCUGGGCCUGCAUCAUGCAGGAUCCCACGGUCCCUGACGGGAUAUGCGUUAGGGGCUUGUAGCUCAGUUGGUUAGAGCGCGCGCUUGAUAAGCGUGAGGUCGGAAGUUCAAGUCUUCCCAGGCCCACCACUUUCAUCGAGUGAGCAUUCGUCUUCUGGUUACGGGGCCAUAGCUCAGCUGGGAGAGCGCGUGCUUUGCAAGCAUGAGGUCGUCGGUUCGAUCCCGUCUGGCUCCACCAGAUGGUUUGAUCACCGAGAUCUUGCACCGUCGUCCGCGAAACAUCACUUCGCAUCCUGCUAGUCUGGAUAGACAGCAAGAUGCGUGUUUUCUGACAUCGUAAAGAGGAGAUCGAUCCGAGUUGGGUCGUGCAGCAGAUUGUUGCGCGAACCUUCAUUAUCUCCGGAUCAUUUUCGGCGCUCGCCUUCAGCCGUGAGGUUGAAUGCGAGUUGUAAAAUGAUCCUUUUAGCGAAGCUUGACCGCCUCGCUAUCGGAACGAUCUUACGAAGCAAGCUGGUCUUUUCUAGUCAAUGUCCGGCUGCACGUACCAUUCAUCGAGGGUGCGCGCCGUAAGGCAAUCGUG